GAAGCACUAUGGCAAGAUAAGUGUAAGAAGUCGAGGGUUUGGCUUUGUGACGAGGAGAAGUAAGUAAAGCAGGGCCUCUGGUUGAGUAUGAGCAUAGAAUUGCCAUGAGUGAUCUUGUGGAUGGGGAUAGUAGUCAGGAUGAUUUCUUACCAAGAAUGUCAACCCCUUGGAACGUAUAUUUAAAUUUCUCUUCAGAUGGAUGAACUCGUGCAACAAGCUGAAAUUGUACAGGACUAGUUGGCAUUUGUUUCAUUUUUUGAAAGAUUAUAUAUUUUUGGAUGUGUAUGAAAAAUAUUUGGGUAGACCAUUAGUUAUAUUUUUAAAUAAAUGCGUAUGGAUAAAAAUUUGAAACAUAAUAACAAGUACUUGUUAUGUUUUAAAUUUUUAAGCUAGAUGGAUGUGAAUUGGAUGAUUAUAUAGAUUACGUGACAUUUUGGAU